AUGGCAGUGGCAGCACAAAAGUCCGUUUCGACUCUGAUGCGUAAAACCCUGCAGCGGCAGGCAGCUGUAGCCAGAGAAAAAUUUAAAUUCAAUAAAAAUCAAGUAGAGCAAAUCUUGCUAGCCUAUGUGAGAGAGAAAAAAACUGGGCCAUACAAUGAUUUGCUAAAAGUUCUGAAGGACAUUCCUUUGAACGACGAAAACUAUCAGAUUCUCUUUGAAGAUAGUCUGUCUUGUGUGGUUCUGUUAGGACGUGACUUCAAACAGUAUGUGGAACUUGUGUGUAGUGUUGAGUUUGCCGGCCGGAGGGAGGAUCUCGUGGAACUGUUCAGUAGAUUUGUACUGAGCUUGGUUACUGCGCACACAUACCAUUGUGCGAGUGUGAUGACCUGUCUUAUUAAGUUGUUCAAAGCUGAAGGUGAAAACUGGGAAGACAGUCCACCGCCAGAAACAGUGAUGAAAUGGUCAAAUAUCCACACAGUUAUUGCACAAAUUGUAGCCAUCAUGCCUAUGUCCAGUGAUCUCCUAAUGCAAACAGUGAUAGAUGGGUUUCCGUAUUACAAAGCAGGCUGCUAUAUCAAUAGGUCUUACAUACACAAUCUAAUAUGGAUGAGCAAAUACAUACCACUACUUCAGGAACAAAUUGUGACGACCAUAGUUAGCAGAUUAGUAAUAAUGGAUGUAAAUUUAGUAGACCGAUCAAAGAAUAGAGUACCGGCUGAGACACUGUUUGAAAUGGACACGGACGAGCAAGACGUUCUUACAGACUCAUUGGACUACUGCAUGUUGGAAAUGUUGAAAUGGCUCGAAGAGGAAAGAGAUCCUGCACUGAACAUCUUGUGCAAUGUUUUCGAAAGAGUUGUUCUUCCAACCUAUGGUAUAAAAUACGUCCAAUUCCUGCUGCUAUACACGAUAUCGAUCAACCAGCAAUGCGCCGACCGUAUACUGAACAACUUGUGGAUAGUGGCGGCAGGUCUUCACGGGUUGGGACCCGGUGCCUUAGCGACCCGGCGGACAGCUGCCAGCCAUCUGGCUGGUUUACUAGCGCGCUGCGUCAGGGUUCCUAACUCCAGACUGAUUCACUACCUAAGAAACAUGGCGGAAUGGUGCCACUCGUAUAUUACGGCGACGCAGGAAUCGACAGCGGCGUGUGAUAACACCAAAGUGCACGGCUCCUUCCAUGCUGUGUGCCACGCCAUCUUUUAUCUGGUCGCGUUCAAAAACCAUCACCUGUUCAUGAACAAAGAAAAUCUCCUCUUCGUCGAGUCACUCAACCUCCCUCGUCUAGUAACCUGCAACCUGAACCCGCUCCGCACGUGUCCACCGCAAGUGACGCACGCAUUCUCUUCAGUGACGCGCGCGCACCAAGUCGUGUACUGCCAAGCUAUCAUCGAGAAGAACGCGCGACACACGCUGCAGUCGGCUGCUCAAGAUUAUGAUGAUUGGUUCCCGUAUGAUCCCUACACGCUGCCUGUAUCCGGUAAGAUAAUCUGGCCGUUAUGCAUAGAGUACAAAGACUUCCUAAAGGACGGCGACAACGAGUCGCAAUACACGCACAUGAAAAUAAAGCUUGAAGAAGACGACGACUACCUAAUGUUAGCCAGCCCCACGAAAAGGAUAACGAACGGCAUUUCACCCGGAUUCAGAACCAGUGAAUCAAUUAUGAUGUAGAGAAUAUGACUGAAAUGGAGAUUACUAAUACUGCUUGGACAGUUAGCAUCAAAAGUAGUGAUAGUCCAAAGAUUUGAAAAACCUCUUUUGAUACUUUCUGUACCAUAAAAGGCAUCCAAUGUAAGCCUUAAAAAUUACUGAUUUAAUACAAAUGUUAAGUUUUAGCCCAAUAUUAAUGUUAUUAAGAUUGUGUCAUACAUUUUUGAUAUGUAACUAAAUAAUACAUAUUCGUAUGUAAACAUUUAUACUUAUCAAUGGUAUAUUUUAUGGAGUAGCGAAGAAAAAAUUGCUAUAUUGCCUACCAGUAAAUAAUUUGCUUUACUUUUUUCUUAAGUCAUGUUAUCUAUUGGAUUCAGAUGAUAAUUAAAGUCUGUUUUAAGUAAAUUAUUUAUUCACCUUGAUUUUUAAAUAAAACAUGUA